CUCAUAUUGCAGGUUGAUUGGUUAUACUAUAUUGCUUUUGCGAUUGUGGUUGUUGGACUCGUCAUUUAUUCAACAACUGAUAAGGAUCCCGUUCCUAUACCAGCUCUUGAAAAUGGAAGCCACAAUGUGCAAUAUCAGAUGCUUGAUGGUGAAAAUGUGGCAUCAAGAGAUGAAUUAUCAGGAUAGUCUGUCAAGUUUUUAUUCAACAUGCAGACAAAAGAGCUUUUGUACUUUAUGUUUGAUUGUUUCACCCC